AAAUCCGUCGAUUUUCAAAAUCGUGAGGGUUCAAGUCCCUCUAUCCCCAA
rnacentral:tRNA from 1 species